ACGGCCACCUGCGAGGACGGCGCACGGAGCCGGCGAUGCGUGAGUGCACCGUUUUUUUUUUUAAUCACAGACUAACAAAAUGUAGCUAUUGUCGAGGGAACGUUGGACCAUGUAGACAUAAUCGAGGCAACAUGUUUUCACACUACAUAUAGGACGUAGUUUAAGCUUAGGCUAGUAGUAAAUGAGCGUGCAUUUUCUUUUUUGUCGCCAAGAAAAAAAAAUGCUUUAUUGUCUUGGCGCUAAUAAAGAAAAGGCCUAACUAGGGCUCCAUUUCUCUUAGCUAUAUUAUGAGGUCUUUCUCUAUAUUGGAUAGCUUUUUCGUGUUGCGAGGGACUUACGGUUUAGCUUUUAUCGGCGUAGUUUCAUUCGGGUUAGGGCUUAAAGAAACGAUUUUUCCUUAGCCUUUAUAUGUGCGAGUUAAGAUGAGGUAGGUAAAUGCUCGAUGCGAUACGAUCGGAGGAUCUCGAAGUGUGCGUCGUAUUUUUUGGUGGGAGGCUUUUUUUUUCCUCGGCUAGUCAGUGUAGCGAUUUCUUAGGCAGGGGGUUGUUUUUGAAAUCAGACUAGCUCUUCGCAACAUGGAGAGAUCCCGAGAUUUGCUAUUGCGUAGAAAAAGAGUCCAACUCUAUAUUUAUAUAUUUAGCUACACGUAAACUAUACACUAUACACUUUCACUCCAUCUACACCUACAAAACGUUUGUAUUAGCCAGGCUAGCCAGUCGAUCUCGGAGUUUUGGUUUUCCGACUCGAUUUUUUGGGUAGCACGAGGGUUCCGCCUAGCGAGGAUGUUUGCGCGUCUUUUUAUAGGCACGUCGUAGCUGCGUCGAUACUUUGCAUUAAUUGAAAAAGGAAUGUGAUCCAUUCGAAGCCAAUUUCUCUGCUCGUUUUUAACUAAACUGGCUUGGAAAUUGAAGCACGGUCAGAUUGGAUCGCAAGUCCGCUCCACACAUUGGCCACGUUUACAUGGAUGCGAAUCGGAUUCAUGUAAAGUCGGCCCUUGAUUAACGUAUUUGUUUACUCCAUCGAAGAUAGGCUGUCUAGCAUUUUUCUCUCUAGAUGAACGCGGUGGUAGGCAGGUAAAUGUCUCUCGACGCACUCUGCCAGUGCUCUCCAGCGUACGUCGUAAAUCGGGGGUGGGUUAACUGUGUUAGGUAGCUUUCCAUGAGGCAGGUGAAAAAAAAAAAUGGGGUUAGCUUCUUCGUACGUUUUUAGUGGGGAUGUAUUGGAGAGUGCGUCUAACCUCGUAUAGGGUCCGCCGCUUUUUGGGAUAACUUAGCCCCGGUGUUUUACACGGUUAGUUCCAACCUCUAGCUUGUUACACAAAUUAACGCACACCCUACACUCACAUCUCCCCACUACAUUGGACACUUUAUUUUCUUAGUGUUUUUAGCUUAGAGGACACUCUCUCUGACGUAGGACGGUCAAUGCAUUUAACUGUGUCCCAAUAGAGUGAUGGAAAAAAGACAAUUGCAAGUGUAAGUUUCUGACGCUCGACCGUUGUCAUAGCAUUAUCUUGUUUUUGUCUUUUUCCUUGGUGUCCGUUGCUCUGGAGGGACGCUUUAAAAGGCAAACGACAACCAAAGGACCUUAGAGGAUGUGCGCACGGGUUACGAAUGACCACGCGUUUCAAAAACGUUGUUUAUUUACUACUCUUUUUUUUCUACACACUGACCUAAUUGGGGAUUUUGCCGCGGCAGGUGAAAACUUUUUUUACUCUGAUUUGGACCGUUAGCUGCCGCGGCAUUAGGGGGAUCUGUCUGUAGGGCUAGCAAACUGAUGGUGAGGUAGGAGUAGGGUAGAUGGGGAAAAUGGUCAUCGAAUUGCCCGAGUGUACGUCCUACCCAAAUGGCUCACUAGCUUAGAGUAGUUAGGGGCUCUGUAUAGCUUGCAAUUAUUUUUGCGAGGCAGCGAACGUACUGCUGGUGAGAGUUGCGUUCCUAGCUAUGCUAGGGUGUGUGUCUCACCUCUGGUUAGGAGUAAUUUCUACUUGCCAUCUACCCGUUUCUCAGCAAACGAGUGAUGGUAAAUGCACUACCGCCAGGAAGAGAUACAAAUACCACUAGUUGAUUUCAUGUUGAAUAUGCGCAUAAAGUUGUCGACAAAUGCCACCGGCACGCGCUCUUCUGUACGGGAGGCGAUUGUGCAUGUCGCAUAUGUCAGUAGGUUAAAAGUAACUUCUGACAAUGACUAGCCCGGGGAUACGUGGGACCAGUUUGACACAAUGCUGUCGAAUUCGUCUCUGCGUUUAACGAGAAUACUUUGCUAUAGUGAUAGGCAUAUAAUGACAUGAUUUUGACUGGGGAUUUUGUUGAGACUUCAGGUGGUUAAAGGUGUCCGUUCUUAGUUUCAGAGGGUUGGGCAUGUCGCACACCUUCUAAUGCAUUGACCGUCAUUUCACGGGCAAACGGGAGCCUGAGCUGUUUUUUUGGCGCGUUAGAGAGUGUGGUGUCAGGGUUUCGCCGUUAGUCGGUUAGGUUGUGUGUAUCUUUCUGUCCCCCAUGUAGAGAUGUAUUAGCUAAUUGACCGCAGUGCCCGAAGCCGUUUCUGUUUUCGACCAUUGGCCCUUAAUGAUGUCUAUAGAGAAAAUUGUGUGUGCUAGCGUCGACAGGAACGUAGCAUGGUCAGGGUGUUGCGGUCAUUCCAACACACCAGGGGGUUGGGUGUGUGGUAUAAGGUUAGGCUAUCUAGACUGUGUCCCGUGUUUUCCGUAGCUGACAUUAGGUAGGUAAUUGCUACCCCAGAGGCGAUUUUGCUCGUUGGGAUAAACUCUCGUAAAAGCAGAGCCCCCUUUGAGCAUCGCAUAAGCGCGUGAGGGACAAAAAAAACUGGAUGUGGAUUGGAGUGGAGGUGGUUGGCCAGCUUUUAGCUCUUUUUUUUUACAAAAUAUACGACACGAAAGCGGUGUAUCUCAUACUGAAGUUGUUGUUAACCCAGAGGCGAUUUUUGCUCGUUGGGAUAAACUCUCGUAAAAGCAGAGCCCCCUUUGAGCAUCGCAUAAGCGCGUGAGGGACAAAAAAAACUGGAUGUGGAUUGGAGUGGAGGUGGUUGGCAAGCUUUUAGCUCUUUUUUUACAAAAUGUACGACACGAAAGCGGUGUAUCUCAUACUGAAGUUGUUGUUUAACGACGAUUGUGCCCGCUUGUUGGCCAUGAAUGGCGUGUGCGUCUAUCCCGAGACGAUAUGGAACACGGAGCCCCAACUUUAUUGCCUCGAGUGCGGUCACAGUUAUACGGACUUGCUGGGCGAUUGGGGUAACUUUAAAAAGAAGUUGGCGUCAAAGAUUCGAGAACACGAUGCGGUCAACUCUGACUGCAGUUAUCGAGAAAAGCGAAUAAAUAAAUAAAUAAUUGAUCUUUA